rnacentral:tRNA from 1 species
AAAAUAUAUCUCUGGUCUUUGAGCUAUUGAUUACUUAAACUAACUAUCUUAGUCGAGGAACCACUCG